rnacentral:rRNA from 1 species
UACGUAGGUGGCGAGCGUUGUCCGGAUUUACUGGGCGUAAAGAGCGCGCAGGCGGUCGUUCAAGUCGCGUGUGAAAGCCCCCGGCUCAACUGGGGAGGGUCACGCGAUACUGAUCGACUCGAAGGCAGGAGAGGGAAGUGGAAUUCCCGGUGUAGUGGUGAAAUGCGUAGAUAUCGGGAGGAACACCAGUGGCGAAGGCGAACUUCCUGGCCUGUUCUUGACGCUGAGGCGCGAAAGCUAAGGGGGAGCAAACGGGG